CCUACGGGGGGCAGCAGUGGGGAAUAUUGCACAAUGGGCGAAACUCUGAUGCAGCGACGCCGCGUGAGUGAAGAAGUAUUUCGGUAUGUAAAGCUCUAUCAGCAGGGAAGAAAAUGACGGUACCUGAUUAAGAAGCCCCGGCUAACUACGCGACAGCAGCCGCGGUAAUACGUAGGGGGCAAGCGUUAUCCGGAUUUACUGGGUGUAAAGGGAGCGUAGACGGCAGCACAAGUCUGGAGUGAAAUGCCAGGGCUUAACCCCGGAACUGCUUUGUAUACUGUGCAGCUAGAGUGCAGGAGAGGUAAGUGGAAUUCAUAGUGUAGCGGUGAAAUGCGUAGAGAUUAGAAGGAACACCAGUGGCGAAGGCGGCUUACUGGACUGUAACUGACGUUGAGGCUCGAAAGCGUGGGGAGCAAACAGGAUUAGAUACCCGUGUAGUC
rnacentral:rRNA from 1 species